AGUCACUGCAAACCAUAAAAAUUCCAACGAAACAUCAAAACAGAAAAGAUAUAUCUUUUUCAAGUGAUUUUUACCGUAUUUAAUGAAUUUUGUGAUCUCAUUUGGAGUAUGCUCGUCAAAAGCCUAUAACACAAUAGUGAAUAAUUCAAUUUGUUUGGAAGUGUGUGUGCUUUGGCGAAAUUACGUUUCUGCCAAUUUUUUUCCUGAACCGGCUGAGGCAAUAGCGAAUAGAUGCAUGCAUUUGAACAAGCGGUUCCAGGGACUUUGGACUUUUGGCUGCCGAGAAGCUUUCCUGGGUAGACGACUCUUUCUGUCAAUUACGCGCAGAAGAUUGUUAGCAUCGAUAAUAGAAAUGUUUAAAUUGGUUAGACUCAGAUUAAGAAAUCUGGAAUUUAUUGAAACCUAUGCUUGGCUGGAAGUGUUUUUCCUAUCUUCAACCACUUGCAAAUUAGGUCGGCCUUUAUUUCCUAUUAUUAAAAAAGCAGCUCAUUUCUGGCGCCCAAUGUGGGUCCAGUUGUUUAUUAUCAAAUAAUGGUAGCAAGUUCUAUCAUCAUAAAAUAGAUAUCUCUACACGUUUUCGGAUAUCGAAGAAAUUCUCGGUAGCGCAUCGCAUACAGAGAUGCGGAAUCCGCUAAUCCGCAAGGGUGGAUUUUAUGAACAGGCUUGUUCAUGUUGCAUAUUAUUACGCGCAUACCCAACGUUUCUUUCUGCCUCAGCGAACGGAGAUUUGUUUUUGUAAUGGGAAAAAAAUCAGGGCAGUUUUCUAAAGACCAGCGAGAACUGUGUUCAGUGAAGAACUGACGUAGGACAGUUUUGUGAAGAGCUGUUGCCGGCAUCACACGACAUGAGGGAGUAAAAAAUGCAUAAAAAGAUUAUGUUGUGAUAUAUCAAGUACGAGUUAUGUUUGCCAAAUUAUUUAUUUAGUCGAAGUCAAUUUUCCGGAAAAUUGUACGUGCGGAUAUUCCAAGAUUUUACUUUCGACGGUUACUUAGAAUCUAGUGCAUGCGCUUCGAACAUUAGCAGAAAAAUGUUAAGAAAAAUCAAAUCACAAUUCCUACAAAAAAUCUACAAACGCAAACAAGUGCCAAGUACGGAGCGCGAAGCGAACGGGAAAAUAUAUAAUAGA